rnacentral:rRNA from 1 species
GUGAGGAAUAUUGGUCAAUGGUCGCAAGACUGAACCAGUCAUGCCGCGUGCAGGAAGACGGUCCUAUGGAUUGUAAACUGCUUUUAUACAGGAAGAAACCCUCCCACGUGUGGGAGCUUGACGGUACUGUAGGAAUAAGGAUCGGCUAACUCCGUGCCAGCAGCCGCGGUAAUACGGAGGAUCCAAGCGUUAUCCGGAAUCAUUGGGUUUAAAGGGUCCGUAGGCGGUCUUAUAAGUCAGUGGUGAAAGCCCAUCGCUCAACGAUGGAACUGCCAUUGAUACUGUAGGACUUGAAUGCUUAGGAAGUAACUAGAAUAUGUAGUGUAGCGGUGAAAUGCUUAGAUAUUACAUGGAAUACCAAUUGCGAAGGCAGGUUACUACUAAGUGAUUGACGCUGAUGGACGAAAGCGUGGGGAGCGAACAGGAUUAGAAACCCGAGUAGUCC